AAAAAAGCAAACCAUGGGUUUUCGUGUCCAACUUUGACUGUCUGUCUUAUAUGAAAUUUUUUUAUAAUUCGUAUUUUCAUUCUUGUUAGAUGAUAAAACAUGAUUAAUAUUUUAUGCGUGACUUCUCUUUUUAAUUUUUUUUAUAACUUUUUUAAAUAAGACGAACGGUCAAACAUUGGACACGAAAACCAGGGUUUGUCUUUUU
rnacentral:pre_miRNA from 1 species